UACGUAGGGGGCCAGCGUUGUCCGAAGUUACUGGGCGUAAAGCGCGCGUAGGCGGGGAAGAAAGUCUACUGUGAAAGCCCGGAGCUUAACUCCGGAGGGUCGGUAGAUACUUUUUCUCUUGAAGCUGCUAGGGGGAGAUGGAAUUACCGGUGUAGCGGUGAAAUGCGUAGAUAUGUCACAGAACACCGAUUGCGAAGGCAGCUUACUAUGGUAUUAUUGACGCUGAGGCACGAAAGCGUGGGGAUCAAACAGG
rnacentral:rRNA from 1 species